rnacentral:rRNA from 1 species
UGUAAGCGUAUACCAAAGUUGUUGCAGUUAAAACGCUCGUAGUCGGAAUUUGGCAGUUCCGGAUGUGUGCACGUCGUGUGCGCACUUCGCGGGGAUUGCUUUUGUGGUCUUGCGUAGGAUGAGGCACUUUUAUUAGUGAACGUCCUCACGCAACCACUAUUUACUGUGAGAAAAUCAGAGUGCUCAAAGCAGGCAUUUGCCGUGAAUGUAUUAGCAUGGAAUAAUAGAAUAGGACUUGGUUCUAUUUUGUUGGUUUGUUGGGACUGAGUAAUGAUUAAGAGGGACAGUUGGGGGCAUUUGUAUUUCGGUGCUAGAGGUGAAAUUCUUAGAUUACCGAAAGACAAACUGCUGCGAAAGCGUCUGCCAAGGAUGUUUUCAUUGA